rnacentral:rRNA from 1 species
UACGUAGGUGGCAAGCGUUGUCCGGAUUUACUGGGCGUAAAGAGCGCGCAGGCGGUCGUUCAAGUCGCGUGUGAAAGCCCCCGGCUCAACUGGGGAGGGUCACGCGAUACUGAUCGACUCGAAGGCAGGAGAGGGAAGUGGAAUUCCCGGUGUAGUGGUGAAAUGCGUAGAUAUCAGGAGGAACACCGGUGGUGUAGACGGCUUUCUGGACCGUAACUGACGCUGAAACACGAAAGCGUGGGUAGCAAACAGG